UGGGAGCGGCAGACGGGAUAGUAACACGUGGGAACGUACCCUUCAGUUCGGAACAACCCAGGGAAACUUGGGCUAAUACCGGAUACGUCCGUAAGGAGAAAGAUUUAUCGCUGAAGGAUCGGCCCGCGUCUGAUUAGCUAGUUGGUGGGGUAAUGGCCCACCAAGGCGACGAUCAGUAGCUGGUCUGAGAGGAUGAUCAGCAUCACUGGGACUGAGACACGGCCCAG
rnacentral:rRNA from 1 species